rnacentral:rRNA from 1 species
UCAGACGAUGCGUCAUGCAUAUCAAUAAGCGGAGGAAAAGAAACUAACAAGGAUUCCCUCAGUAACGGCGAGUGAAGCGGGAAGAGCUCAAAUUUGAAAUCUUGAAAGGUCACCUUUCACGAAUUGUAGUUUAAAGAAGUGUUUUCUGUUACGAUCGUAAUAUAAGUUCUUUGGAAUAGGACAUCACAGAGGGUGAGAAUCCCGUCUAUGAUUGCGAUUUGUAGCUUUGUGAUACACUUUCAAAGAGUCGGGUUGUUUGGGAAUGCAGCCCAAAACGGGAGGUAAAUUUCCUCUAAGGCUAAAUAUUGGCGAGAGACCGAUAGCGAACAAGUACCGUGAGGGAAAGAUGAAAAGAACUUUGAAGAGAGAGUUAAAUAGUACGUGAAAUUGUCAAAAGGGGAAGCGUUUAACACCAGUGUUGUUUUCUGAAAAUCAACCUCUGUUAGCUUUAUGCAUGUUUGUUUAGACCUAAUCAGCUAUCUUGCAUGUUCUAUUGUUUGCAGUGGUGCACUUUUCAGUUUACAGGUCAACAUCAGUUUUUUUUACCGUAAAAAAGUUAAAGAAAGGUAGCUCAUGGCUCCGGUCGUGAGUGUUAUAGUCUUUUUCCUAUGCGGUAGGAGAGACUGAGGUCUGCAGUGUAGGCUAUUUGGCUAGAUACUCAGGUGCUAUGUGAUACCAUUUCAUAAACAACUUGUUGAUUAUGUUUUGUCUAUUGCAUACUCGCUUGUACUAUCAUACCUACGCUUAGGAUGUUGAAGACUCUACAGAGAUA